GGGGAUUUAGCUCAGCGGCAUAAGCGCCUGCCUUGCAAGCAGGCAGUCCUGGGUUCGAUUCCUGGUACCG
rnacentral:tRNA from 1 species